CGCGACAUUUUUUUUUUUUUUGGAAUGAAGUUGUUGCUGGGAAUGAAAAGCAAUUUUCAAGCACUCAGAUCACUCAUUGUUGCAAAAUAUCCCGUGGACCGUCAGUCAUUUUCUAACAUGGUCCCCUUCCAAGAUACAUGGAGGGCACUUGCAUUCAUGGUCCAUUCAUUUCCAUACCUCCUCUUUCCUCUGUCACAUGGAUACACAGUGCAUGCCUUCAUCUUCUUCCUUGCACUCCAAAAGUCACAAAAAUGUCACUGUGAUUCCACCGUUGAUUAGAAGGCAACAAAAGAACACCACAGUUUACUUCAAGUACAGGAUCCGUGGCUAUCUUGCUUGUGCCUGCAGAUGCCCGCAAGAGCGACGGGAAAUUACAACUCAAAGACCUUUAGUAACGAAGGCAAAGAAAGUUCCUGUAGAAUUGAGUGAGGAGCCUGCUAAAGGAACUGUUGCUGGUGCUGUUGCUCUUAUUAUUGGUACCAGUAUUGGUUCUGGGAUACUUGCCCUGCCACAGAAAGCUUCUACUGCAGGAGUCAUUCCAAGUUCAAUAUGCAUGAUAGUAUGUUGGGGUUUUCUCCUAAUUGAAGCACUUUUGCUUGUUGAGAUCAAUGUGGGUUUGAGGAGGAAGCAAGGAAAAAAUGAAGAUGAGAGUGAACUAGAUGUCAUAUCUAUUAGGACUAUGGCUCAAGAGACCCUAGGAGACUGGGGUGGAACCUUGGCUACCAUUACCUAUGUCUUCUUGGCUUACACUUCCAUGAUUGCCUAUACUUCCAAGUCUGGAGAGAUCCUUUUUCAUUUGGUAAAUCUUCCAGAAUCUGUUUCAUCCUGCCUCUUCACUACUAUAUUCACUGUGCUAGUUUCCGUUGGUGGGACUCAAGCAACUGAUCAAGUCAAUCAAUGGCUUACUGCUUCCAUGAUAGGUUUGCUACUAGCGAUUGAGGUGAUAGCUGUUGCUUUCGGAGGGUGGUCAGGAUUGGAGGGAAGUGGUGACUGGGGAAAAGUUCCAGCUACAAUUCCUGUGAUGAUUUUUGCUUUAGUGUAUCAUGAUCUAGCACCUGUUCUCUGUGCUUAUUUGGGUGGUGACCUUAAGCGACUAAGGACUUCAGUUUUGCUGGGUAGCAGUGUUCCUUUGCUGGCCUUGCUUGUUUGGGAUGCAAUUGCACUUGGCCUUUCUGCCCAGGCUGAUCAAGUUGUUGAUCCAGUUUUGCUUAUGAGUGAGAGAUGGAGUGGGGUUUCAUAUAUGGUAGAGGCCUUCUCACUUCUUGCAGUAGCAACAUCAUUGAUUGGCACUCUCCUUGGCUUCUUGGAGUUCUUCAAGGAGCAACUGAAGAACCUCUCAAGGGAUUCGAAAGCUACACGAACAUUACAGCGUAAAAUGCAAAGAUAUUACAGGAACCAAUUGGGUUGGGUGAAUGGUGGGAAAGGAAUAAAAUCAGCUUCACGGCAAAGGCAAUGGCAGUUGCUCCAACGCUAGUCGUCUCAACCAUUGUUCCAGAUGCAUUCUCCGCCGCCACAGACAUCGCUGGAGGCUACUGCAUGACAAUUCUCUAUGGAGUUCUCCCACCGGCAAUGGCGUGGGCAAUGUAUAACAAGGAACAAGAGGACAGUAGUCAAAAUGAGCUAUCAAGAGUAAGGCCUGCUCUUCUUGGGGUGGGCAUCUUAGCAGGUGGGAUAGUGGUGGAGCAAAUCUUGCAGGAUUUCUCAGCAUUGCACCAUUAAAAAGGACAGCCAAAAUCAUUCCACUCCAAAUAUGAAUUGCCUUUAAUGUUACGACCAACUUGUGAAUCGAAAUACGUAUUGUUUCAGAAUAUGAAAUGCAUAGAAUAAGAGAGCACCAUCGGCUUCUAAGCAUAACCAGGCAAACAUAUUUUUCCUCCUGCCUGGGGUCGCCUGCCACAACAAGAGGCCCUCUUGUGGGCGACAAAACACAGGCCAAUGACCCGUUAUGAUGAAAUUGUAAAUGGUUAUGGGGGUUUGACGUU